CCUGAACUGGAGUAGGCUUGCAGGGAGGCCCCAAGGAAGGAAGGAAGGAGGCAGGCAGGCAGAGUGGCCCCCACAGCUCUCUGCAGCAGACCCUCUGCCCAGCCCAGCAUUUGCCAGUUUGGUGUUAUGUGAGAAGGCAACCAGUGCCACGUUGCAAUCAAUUGCAGAAUGCCUUGCUGCUGAGUUUCCUGCUCCAGGAACUAUUACCAAAAGUAGAAGUGAGAGCGAUCGUAUGUGUGUACCCACAAAUUGGCAGAACAAUACAAUAUAUAAGGCCUCACCUUCAGCUGUGGAUGAGCAGAAGAUGGCACGGGGCUGCACCAACCAGGGGAAACCCACUGGCAAGCUGAACAGAGUCUGUUCCCCAGGUCCAGACGUUUGGCUAGUGAAACCCAAUGGGAAUGCACCUCUGGUUUUGUAUGGUGUCUGAAUCCAGCCAGAGAAAGACCUUCACAAUUCUUGGUUUCCAAUAUGUUCUGGUUCCAUCUGUGAUGCUGAAAAGCUGAUUCAUGAUUUUGAACAUUUAGGCUAACCACGUCCAGUUAAGAAACUAUUGCAUGGAGGAAGACCUUACCUAAAGAGUUAUUUUCUGUUUCAACAUUUAACAGUCAAAAUGUGGCCUGAGGUUGUACCUGAAGUUUCCUCAGCUUUAACACAACACCAUUUCAAAAUAUUUCCAAGGUAAUACAAGAAGCACCAGACUUGUUUCAAACACUUUUGUAACCCAACAAUAAAGUAUUGUGUUGGGGUAAAUCUUCACUGUGUUUUAUAGAAGGAAAGCUGAACCAUGACAUCCGGAUAAGUCUAUCCUACUUGUGUA